GAGUAGCUGGUAUUACAGGCGUGUGCCACAAAGCCUGGCUAAGUUUUGUAUUUUUAGUAGAGACGGGGUUUCACCAUGUUGGCCAGGUUGGUCUCGAACUCCUGACCUCAAGUGAUCCACUCACUUUGGCCUUUCAACGUGCUGGGAUUACAGGCGAGAGUCACCGCACCCGGACGACUCUGACAUUUUUGAAGAGUCCAGAAUCCUGUUACACCUGGGAUUUAGGCACUUUCAAUCUGAAAAAAUACAUAUCCUUUCAGCACUCUGGACGGACUUGAGAACUGUCCUUACGUGACCUAAAGCUGGAGUAUUUUGAGAUUGGAGAAUUAAGAGCCAGUCUUGGUGCUCUGUGUUCACCUGGUUCAUCUGAGGAGCUGCAUCUACCCUGCCCAUGCCAUAGAUCCUGCCCUGUUUGCUUCUCCUGUUGCUGCUAGUGGACAUGAGGACAGAAUAACGGGCUCCCAGAUUCACAAGCCCCACCAAGAGGAUCACCCCAGGAACGCUUGGAGGCUGAGGAGUUCACUGAGGCUACUGCAUCUUGAGACUCAGGAUGAAGACCCAGCUUGGGGCUGUCAAAGGUUUUUUGCAUGUCUGACACCCAUGACUCCACCUGGACCUUAUGGCUCCACCCAGAAGCAAUUCAGCCCAACAGGAGGACAGCUUCAACCCAUUACGAUUUCAUCUCUGCCCCAACCACUCAGCAGCAAGCACCUGUUACCUGUCCACCCCCACCCCUUCCCCCAAACUGCCUUUGAAAAAUCCCUAACCUAUGAGCUUUGAAUAAGAUGAGUACGAACUUCAUCGCCCACGUGGCGUGGCCGGCCUCGUGUCUAUUAAAUUCUUUUUCUACUACAA
rnacentral:lncRNA from 1 species